CAAUAGCGUAUAUUUAAGUUGCUGCAGUUAAAAAGCUCGUAGUUGGAUUUCGGUUGAGAACGGCCGGUCCGCCGUUUGGUGUGCACUGGCUGGUUUCAACUUCCUGUAGAGGACGCGCUCUGGCUUCACGGCUGGACGCGGAGUCUACGUGGUUACUUUGAAAAAAUUAGAGUGUUCAAAGCGGGCUUACGCUUGAAUAUUUCAGCAUGGAAUAACACUAUAGGACUCCUGUCCUAUUUCGUUGGUCUCGGGACGGGAGUAAUGAUUAAGAGGAACAGUUGGGGGCAUUCGUAUUUCAUUGUCAGAGGUGAAAUUCUUGGAUUUAUGAAAGACGAACUUCUGCGAAAGCAUUUGCCAAGGAUGUUUUCAUUAA
rnacentral:rRNA from 1 species